AGCGAACGCUGGCGGCAGGCCUAACACAUGCAAGUCGAACGAACCUUUCGGGGUUUGUUGCGGACGGGUGAGUACCACGUGGGAACGUGCCCUUAGGUUCGCAAUCACUCAGGGAAACUUGUGCUCAUACCGCAUGUGCCCUUCGGGGUAAAGAUUUAUCGCCUCUAGAGCGGCCCGCGUCUGAUUCGCCGGUUGGUUGGGGUAAUGGCUCACCACGGCGAGGAUCAGUAGCUGGUCCGAGAGGAGGAUCAGCCACAUUGGGACUAAGACACGGCCCAAACACGAGGGAGAGGCGGCGGAGGGGAAUCUUGCGCAGGGAGCGAAAGCCAGACACGGCCAGGGCGCGGGAAUGAUGAGGGUCUUGGAAUUGUAAAAUUCUUUCAACGGGGAGGAUGAGGAGGGUACCGGUAGAAAAGGCCCCGCCUACUUCGUG
rnacentral:rRNA from 1 species